GGAAGGAUCAUUAGAGAGAACCAAGCUCAUUUAUGAGCGACUCUCCACCCCAUGUUUACAUGACUCUGUUGCUUUGGCGGACCGUAGGGCGUGAGUCCUCCACCGGCGUCUGUUGGUGCGUGUCCGUCAGAGGAAAUUUACACUCUGUUUAUCAGUGUUGUCUGAGUAAUACAUAAUCAUAUAAAACUUUCAACAACGGAUCUCUUGGUUCUGGCAUCGAUGAAGAACGCAGCGAAAUGCGAUAAGUAAUGUGAAUUGCAGAAUUUAGUGAAUCAUCGAAUCUUUGAACGCACAUUGCGCCCUCUGGUAUUCCGGGGGGCAUGUCUGUUCGAGCGUCAUUACAACUCUCAAGCCUAGCUUGGUAAUGGGCCUUCGUCCCCUGGACGGGUCUGAAAAUCAGUGGCGAUACCCUCCAGCUUCAAGCGUAGUAAAUCUGUCUUCGUCUUGAAUAGUUGGCUGGUGUGUUAGCCAAGUGAAUCUACAUUUCUCCAAGUUGACCUCGAAUCAGGUAGGGAUACCCGCUGAACUUAAGCAUAUCAAUAAGCGGAGGAAAAGAAACCAACAGGGAUUGCCUCAGUAACGGCGAGUGAAGCGGCAACAGCUCAAAUUUGAAAUCUGGCUUCCAUGAAGUCCGAGUUGUAAUUUGUAGAGGAUGUUUCGGUUCCGGCUCUGGUCUAAGUUCCUUGGAACAGGACGUCAGAGAGGGUGAGAACCCCGUAUGUGAUUGGAAGCUGGAUACCAUGUGAACUUCCUUCGACGAGUCGAGUUGUUUGGGAAUGCAGCUCAAAAUGGGUGGUAAAUUUCAUCUAAAGCUAAAUACUGGCCAGAGACCGAUAGCGAACAAGUAGAGUGAUCGAAAGAUGAAAAGCACUUUGGAAAGAGAGUUAAACAGUACGUGAAAUUGUUGAAAGGGAAGCGCUUGCAAUCAGACUUGCUUGCAGCUGAUCAUCUGGUGUUCUCACCAGUGCACUCAGUUGUGAUCAGGCCAGCAUCAGUUUGGACGGUUGGAUAAAGGCCUUGGGAAUGUAGCUUUCUUCGGGGAGUGUUAUAGCCCUUGGUGCAAUGCAAUCAGCCUGGACUGAGGACCGCGCUUCGGCUAGGAUGCUGGCGUAAUGGUUGUAAGCGACCCGUCUUGAAACACGGACCAAGGAGUCUAACAUCUAUGCGAGUGUUUGGGUGUCAAACCCACACGCGAAAUGAAAGUGAACGGAGGUGGGAACCCUUAAGGGUGCACCACCGACCGAUCCUGAUGUCUUCGGAUGGAUUUGAGUAAGAGCAUAGCUGUUGGGACCCGAAAGAUGGUGAACUAUGCCUGAAUAGGGUGAAGCCAGAGGAAACUCUGGUGGAGGCUCGCAGCGGUUCUGACGUGCAAAUCGAUCGUCAAAUUUGGGUAUAGGGGCGAAAGACUAAUCGAACCAUCUAGUAGCUGGUUCCUGC
rnacentral:misc_RNA from 1 species